GUGGCCGUGGUGAAGUGGUAUCACGUCUGGUUGUGGCCCAGAAGAACGUGGGUUCGAAACCCACCGGUCACC
rnacentral:tRNA from 1 species